UCUCUCUCCAGAACCUCUUCUUGGGGACCCCUCUCUGAAGCCUCUUCUUGGGAGCAGCUUUCUGGAGGAAAACGGGCAGCAUAGUUGUGCUGUUGCUGAUGGAUGGAGAUGUGGAAAUGCUUCAUGCAGGGAUCCAGGGGGUCUGCUCGCACCGUGAUGGUGACCGGCUUCCGAAUACCCAGAGACUGCCUCUUCUCUACUGUCACAACAUCAAUUUCUUCAUUCUCUGUCCGAGAAAAGAGAUCAAGAGAAGAAACACAUCCCAUGAGAAACACAAACAUAGACCCUACAGCUUUAGCUGUCUACGCUGGUGCUUGGGAAGGUCGCCUGCCCCACCUCCUUCCCUGGACUAGAAGGUUAGAUUUGUAAUCAUAGGUCGGCGAAGCUGCAGGAACUUCACAAAGGUACAAGCGACCAUUUCCAAACUACCUGCACCAGAGGCAGAGACUGGGCAGCAGAAUGUCCCAGAUAUGGGGCUCAUAACACCAGAGACCUGGAGACACCUGGACACGCCCUUCUCAUUCACUGGCUUGAAGGUCUCUUAGGUUAACCUAACCAGGAGAGGGGCAAUUGGGAGAAAAGUCUCCUCCUGCUCCACACAUUUUGCAGCCUCCACACAGAAGUCCACCUUAAUGGAUCUCGGCCUCGCAAAGGAAGAGCUCCGUUCUCAGCUUCUUUGCAUAUCAGGAAGCUUGAGCCCCUUUGUCAGGAAGGCUUCCAUUGUGUGGACAAUCGCAUUAUUUCUCCAUUAAUAAACCUGACCAUUCAGCCCUCCUGGCCCCAAAGCCCAUGAUUGGCUGAUUACGCUGUGUUUGGACUUCUGUCUUACCCAGCCCCUAGCCCCUAUUGGGUGAGCUCUGCUGCCAAUCACUUUCCCCACCCCCCGCCUCAUUGUUUGCAAUCUGUUGCAUUUUGUUCCAGGCCAUGUGGCCUGUGAGUGAACUAGAAGCUCACAAACAGGUUCAGGUUAAAGGGUAGGUUAGAAAAUGAUUCAGCAGGCUUCCCUACAUCCCAAACCUUUAAUUUUCAGUGUUAAGCCUCGUGGCUCAGGAAGAUUCUAUCUAAGAAAGAAAUAAUUUAAGACACCAUUCUCCCUUUCAGAGAGUAGUGUCUUACUCUAUCCAGACAAGGAAAUGUCAUCAGCAGGACAAUCAAGUCCAACCCCAUCGUGUGCAAAUGGGGAAACUGAGGCCCAGAUCAGCGAAGUCCACAUAUCACCUUUGUAACGUUCUGGAUCUCAAACUAAAAUGUCCAACUUCCAAAGCAAUGCUCUUUCCACUCUACCACUCCACCAGCCGUUGUAGAGAUACAUCUUUAUUGGUUUUUUGAUCUCAAGAUUCUCUUUCCA
rnacentral:lncRNA from 10 species